rnacentral:rRNA from 1 species
UUAGUGGCGAACGGGUGAGUAACACGUGAGGAACUUGCCCAUGAGCGGGGGACAACAUUCGGAAACGGAUGCUAAUACCCCAUAGGUGGAUUGGUCGCAUGACGAAUUCAUUAAAGGUGGCUCUGCUACCACUCAUGGAUAGCCUCGCGGCGUAUUAGCUAGUUGGUAAGGUAAUGGCUUACCAAGGCAGUGAUACGUAGCCGACUUGAGAGGGUGAUCGGCCACACUGGGACUGAGACACGGCCCAGACUCCUACGGGAGGCAGCAGUAGGGAAUCUUCCACAAUGGGUGCAAACCUGAUGGAGCAAUGCCGCGUGAGUGAAGAAGGUCUUCGGAUCGUAAAGCUCUGUUGUUAGAGAAGAACACGUGCUAGGUAACUACUAGCGCCUUGACGGUAUCUAACCAGAAAGUCACGGCUAACUACGUGCCAGCAGCCGCGGUAAUACGUAGGUGACAAGCGUUGUCCGGAUUUAUUGGGCGUAAAGGGAGCGCAGGCGGUCUGUUUAGUCUAAUGUGAAAGCCCACGGCUUAACCGUGGAACGGCAUUGGAAACUGACAGACUCGAAUGUAGAAGAGGAAAAAUGGAAUUCCAAGUGUAGCGGUGGAAUGCGUAGAUAUUUGGGAGGAACACCAGUGGCGAAGGCGAUUUUCUGGUCUAACAUUGACGCUGAGGCUCGAAAGCGUGGGGAGCGAACAGGAUUAGAUACCCUGMUAGUCCACGCCGUAAACGAUGGAGUGCUAAGUGUUGGGGGGG